UUCGAACUCCUACGGGAGGCAGCAGUGGGGAAUUUUGGACAAUGGGCGCAAGCCUGAUCCAGCCAUGCCGCGUGUCUGAAGAAGGCCUUCGGGUUGUAAAGGACUUUUGUCAGGGAAGAAAAGGCUGUUGCUAAUAUCCACAGCUGAUGACGGUACCUGAAGAAUAAGCACCGGCUAACUACGUGCCAGCAGCCGCGGUAAUACGUAGGGUGCGAGCGUUAAUCGGAAUUACUGGGCGUAAAGCGAGCGCAGACGGUUACUUAAGCAGGAUGUGAAAUCCCCGGGCUCAACCGGGGAACUGCGUUCUGAACUGGGUGACUAGAGUGUGUCAGAGGGAGGUAGAAUUCCACGUGUAGCAGUGAGAUGCGUAGAGAUGUGGAGGAAUACCGAUGACGAAAGCAGCCUCCUGGGAUAACACUGACGUUCAUGCUCGAAAGCGUGGGUAGCAAACAGGAUUAGAAACCCCGGUAGUCCUAG
rnacentral:rRNA from 1 species